rnacentral:rRNA from 1 species
UACGUAGGGUGCGAGCGUUGUCCGGAAUUAUUGGGCGUAAAGAGCUCGUAGGCGGUCUGUCGCGUCGGCUGUGAAAACCCGAGGCUCAACCUCGGGCCUGCAGUGGGUACGGGCAGACUAGAGUGCGGUAGGGGAGAUUGGAAUUCCUGGUGUAGCGGUGGAAUGCGCAGAUAUCAGGAGGAACACCAAUGGCGAAGGCAGAUCUCUGGGCCGUAACUGACGCUGAGGAGCGAAAGCAUGGGGAGCGAACAGG